AGAUAGCAUUUUUCAUAUGCUUCGUAUUGUUGAUACUUCUAGCAGGCGUUCUAAUUGGACAUUUUGGAAAAGUUUCAUGCUCGGGGUCGUUCAUAUUUAUUAUUUUAGGAGUAUCAUUGUGCCUUACAUCUGUAAUCCUGUUUUGCAGAGGAAAAGUUUCUGAUUCAUAUAUCAAUAGCGACGUUCCAGUAACUGAUUUACCUACGGAAGAAGAAGAUCCUUCAGAAGAACGAUGCCUUGCAUAGUUCUACACCUAAGAUAUAAGGAGUAUCUUUGGAUAGUUACAGAGUUUAUUCAGUACGGAACACUAAUGGAAUAAGGCUAAUUACAAUUGACAAACAGUUGAUGAUUGAUGUGUACAGAGAAAAAAAAACAAUAAAAGCAAACUUGAACUUUGCCAUUCAUACAUCAACAGAAACCAGUGAUUUAACAGAGCCGCUGAAAUUUACAACACGAUGACAUAAUAUCAA